GGGACCCGUCCUUGAAACACGGACCAAGGAGUCUAGCAUGUGCGCGAGUCAUUGGGGACUCUGACGAAACCUAAAGGCGUAAUGAAAGUGAAGGUCCGCCUGGCGCGGACCGAGGGAGGAUGGGCGGACCCGAGGGGCCGCCUCGCACUCCCGGGGCGUCUCGUUCUCAUCGCGAGAAGAGGCGCACCCAGAGCGUACACGCUGGGACCCGAAAGAUGGUGAACUAUGCCUGGUCAGGACGAAGUCAGGGGAAACCCUGAUGGAGGUCCGUAGCGAUUCUGACGUGCAAAUCGAUCGUCGGAACUGGGUAUAGGGGCGAAAGACUAAUCGAACCAUCUAGUAGCUGGUUCCCUCCGAAGUUUCCCUCAGGAUAGCUGGCGCUCGCUUCUUGCGAGUCUCAUUCGGUAAAGCGAAUGAUUAGAGGCAUUGGGGUCGAAACGGCCUCAACCUAUUCUCAAACUUUAAAUGGGUGAGAUCUCCGGCUUGCUUGAACUGUGAAGCCGCGAGAUAUCGGAUCAGAGUGCCAAGUGGGCCACUUUUGGUAAGCAGAACUGGCGCUGUGGGAUGAACCAAACGCCGAGUUAAAGCGCCUAAAUCGACGCUUAUGGGAUACCAUGAAAGGCGUUGGUAACUUAAGACAGCAGGACGGUGGCCAUGGAAGUCGGAAUCCGCUAAGGAGUGUGUAA
rnacentral:rRNA from 1 species